rnacentral:rRNA from 1 species
UCCAAGAGUGACUACGUCGGGGCUGCCUUCGGGCGAGCCGGCCGCGUUGCUGGAGGAUAGCUGGAGGGGGACGCAGGAAGGUAGGUGAACCGGGGCGAUGGUAGUCCCCGGGUAAGCGUGUAGGAGGGUCCCGAUGAGAGUUGGGGCCAUUAACUCUGAGACGUGAUGCCGAGUCGAUUAAGACGAAGUCACUAAUCCUAUGCUGCCAAGAAAAGCCCAACAGUGAGUUGGCACGGCACCCGUACCCCAAACCGACACAGGUGGGCGGGUAGAGAAUACCAAGGCGAUCGGGAGAACUAUGGUUAAGGAACUCGGCAAAUUGCAUCCGUAACUUCGGGAGAAGGAUGACCCUAUUAGGGUGACGGGAUUUACUCCCCGAGCUCGAGAGGGUGGCACAGACCAGGGGGUAGCGACUGUUUACCAAAAACACAGCAGCGUGCUAAGCCGCAAGGCGCUGUAUACGCUGUGACGCCUGCCCAAUGCUGGAAGGUCACGGGGAACGGUUAGUCGUAAGGCGAAGCUGUGAACCUAAGCCCCAGUGAAUGGCGGCCGUAACUAUAACGGUCCUAAGGUAGCGAAAUUCCUUGUCGGGUAAGUUCCGACCUGCACGAAUGGCGUAACGACUUCCCCACUGUCUCAACCAUAGACCCGGCGAAAUUGAAGUACGAGUAAAGAUGCUCGUUAGCUGCGGAAGGACGAAAAGACCCCAUGGACCUUCACUACAACUUGAUAUUGAGCUUUGUCCUGCAUUGUGUAGGAUAGGUGGGAGACUUGGAAGCGGUGGCGCUAGCCAUCGUGGAGUCAACGUUGAAAUACCACCCUGUGUAUGACGGGGCUCUAACCUGGGUCCAUUAUCUGGAUCAGGAACAGUGUCAGGCGGGUAGUUUGACUGGGGCGGUCGCCUCCUAAAAUGUAACGGAGGCGCCCAAAGGUUCCCUCAGGCAGGUUGGCAAUCAGCCGUCGAGUGCAAUGACACAAGGGAGCUUGACUGCGAGACUGACAGGUCAAGCAGGUGCGAAAGCAGGGCAUAGUGACCCGGCCAUCACGUGUGGAAGUGUGGUCGCUCAACGGAUAAAAGGUACCCUGGGGAUAACAGGCUAAUCUUUCCCAAGAGUCCAUAUCGACGGAAAGGUUUGGCACCUCGAUGUCGGCUCAUCGCAUCCUGGGGCUGAAGCAGGUCCCAAGGGUUGGGCUGUUCGCCCAUUAAAGCGGUACCCGAGCUGGGUUCAGAACGUCGUGAGACAGUUCGGUCCCUAUCCUCCGCAGCCGAAGGUGUAUUGAGGAAGGCUGUCCCUAGUACGAGAGGACCGGGACGGACGGAGCUCUGGUGUGUCAGUUGUCGUGCCAACGGCAUGGCUGAUUAGCCACCUCCGGAAGGGAUAACUGCUGAAAGCAUCUAAGUAGGAAACCCGUUCCAAGAUGAGUACACCCAUGCGGUUAACGCAGUAAGGCCCGUGACGAGACCAUCACGUUGAUAGGCCGGAGGUGUAAGCGUGGUAACACGUUCAGCCGACCGGUACUAAUCGGCCGAGGGCUUGGAC